rnacentral:rRNA from 1 species
AAUGCCGCGUGUGUGAAGAAGGCCUGCGGGUUGUAAAGCACUUUCAACAGUGAAGAAAAGCUGACGGUUAAUACCCGUUAGUCUUGACAUUAGCUGUAGAAGAAGCACCGGCUAACUCCGUGCCAGCAACGGCGGUGACUGAGCGGGCUGGCAAGGCGCAUA